rnacentral:rRNA from 1 species
CCUACGGGAGGCAGCAGUAGGGAAUCUUCCACAAUGGGCGAAAGCCUGAUGGAGCAACGCCGCGUGGGUGAAGAAGGUCUUCGGAUCGUAAAACCCUGUUGUUAGAGAAGAAAGUGCGUGAGAGUAACUGUUCACGUUUCGACGGUAUCUAACCAGAAAGCCACGGCUAACUACGUGCCAGCAGCCGCGGUAAUACGGAGGUGGCAAGCGUUAUCCGGAAUUAUUGGGCGUAAAGGGCACGCAGGCGGUCUUUUAAGUCUGAUGUGAAAGCCUUGGGCUUAACCGGAGUAGUGCAUUGGAAACUGGGAGACUAGAGUGCUGAAGGGGGGAGUGGAACUCCAUGUGUAGCGGUGAAAUGCGUAGAUAUAUGGAGGAACACCAGUGGCGAAGGCGGCUCUCUGGUCUGUAACUGACGCUGAGGUUCGAAAGCGUGGGUAGCAAACAGGAUUAGAUACCCUUGUAGUC